AUUAGAAAAUGCUCCAUACCUUGGAGUGCAGUGGAGACAUAAGAAUAAUUUUAAAUGCAAAUUAAAUUGUGGGGGUAGCAAAGAGAACAGAUAAAAGACAGUAAAACAAAGCCUUUCACUUUCCUCAAAUUAGCAGGCUAAUGUAGUAUAAAAAAAAAGCAGUUCUACUCAGAUCUGUGCUAAGAGCUUUCAUUUCAUCAUAAUAUAAAACAGCAGAUCCAUCACCUUUCUCUAUUCAGUACUCUUCAUUUCGAGGUUGAAGUGAAAAUUAGAAGCUGUUCUUUCUGGCUCACAGACUGGGUUGCAUUUGCUUAGUCUUAUUCCAUGACAGUAGGAUGGAAAGAGGUCAGUAACACUGGAAUCUGACUGAUCGUUCAUACCGGAGUAUUGUACACAAACACAACGCACCUUCAAAAUGGACUACUUUUUGGAUGUCGAGUCUGCUCACAGACUGUUUUACAGUCAAGGAGCCCAAGCUCGCCGGGCAACUCUUCUCACUGUGCCCACUCUGGUGACAGCAACCUCUGAGGAUGACAUAGACCGGAGACCCAUCAGAAGACUCCGGUCUAAGAGUGACACCCCUUACUUGGAAGAAGCUCGGAUCUGCUUCAACCUUGAUAAUGGUAAGACCACACCUUCCCUAAACAGCAUAUGAUGUUAAUUAAAGACUUCUUUUUGAGAUGCAGAUGGACCAGAUGGUACCUCCUCGUUCACAAGUGAUGUGGUGGUUUACCAGACAUCCAAAGAUGCCAAGGCUGUCUAACUACAAGCACCUGCAUAUGUAUGAACAGGGUUCGUUUUCAAAAUUCCCCUGCAACUGCUAACUAAAACUUUUUCCCUGUUUUAGCCAGGGUGAGCUAGUGAGAUCACACCAAAACAGAAUUGAUUUGCAAACAAAAUAUGUCUUAUCAAUUCCAGGCAUCCAGAAACAUGAAAGUUCUGGAGAACGUUUAUGAAGGGAUUACAGAUAACAGCAGGCUUGAGCUAAAACCAAAGUUACAGCCAUUGAAGAACACGAGCACAACCCAAAACGUGAAUAGGACUAAUUGGCAAACAGAAAACUGGUUUUUGGUAACAAAUUGGUAACAGAAAACUCUUGACUCUGCAGGAAUGAGUAAGAGAGCCAUCCUUCAAAAUUCAGACCAACUGUUAUUAUCACUGCCUUCAGAGUUAGUGAGCCCCAACAUUCCUUCCCUGGUCUUUUAUUCUCAUUGAAGUUGAUCAAAACAAAAGAUUUUGGAAGUCCUGACAAUUUAGGGCCUUUAAGCAGAGUGGUUUUGGGUUUUUUUUAAACAAAAAGCCCUGAAUUAAAUGGCAUGAGCUAGUACACUGUUAGGCACAUAUUUUAACUGUCUAACUUUUACUUUACAUAGUACCUUUGUGCUACCUACUUUUUUAAAAUAGCAUUUUUAAUUAUUUAUAUUACACUAACCAACCAAAAUUGGAGCCCUAACGUGGCAGGCAGCCUAUAAACCACAGGAUAAGAACGUCUACAUUAAGAGCAGAUUACUACACAGAGAAACAGAGGUGCCACAAAUCACCGAGCCCGGUUUGCAGCCGGAGAACGGAGCCUCUGGUUUUUGCAGAUGGUCACAUUUUUCUCAAAGUCCUGCCGAAGCGACUGAGGAAGGCGAGCCCCGGGCUGUGAGUGACGGUCAGUUUCAAACGUUGAGUGCAGCCUCCUCAGUCCCCUUGGCAUUUUAAACUGCCAAGGUGUGGCACACCAUCCCGCUUUACGUAAUGGGUUUGCCCAAGGAAAGAGGGCAAGGGAUGCACCAUUAGACAUCCCACCAAGUCCUGAGGCAGCUCCACUGUGAGUCCUGGACGCCCUGGGCUAGAAGGGAGCAGCUCGGGGCGCCGGGCUUGCUGCGGGGUGGCACCUCUGCCGGCCAGGCCCAUCGGCGGCGUUCGGCACCUCAGCCGGGACCUCCCCCGGGGGCGGGAAAGGCGCUCGGCCGGACCCUGCCCGGGGC